GUGGGGAAUCUUAGACAAUGGGCGCAAGCCUGAUCUAGCCAUGCCGCGUGGGUGAUGAAGGCCUUAGGGUCGUAAAGCCCUUUCGCCGGGGAAGAUAAUGACGGUACCCGGUAAAGAAACCCCGGCUAACUCCGUGCCAGCAGCCGCGGUAAUACGGAGGGGGUUAGCGUUGUUCGGAAUGACUGGGCGUAAAGCGCGCGUAGGCGGAUCAGGAAGUUGGGGGUGAAAUCCCGGGGCUCAACCCCGGAAUGGCCUUCAAAACUCCUGGUCUUGAGUUCGAGAGAGGUGAGUGGAAUUCCGAGUGUAGAGGUGAAAUUCGUAGAUAUUCGGAGGAACACCAGUGGCGAAGGCGGCUCACUGGCUCGACACUGACGCUGAGGUGCGAAAGCGUGGGGAGCAAACAGG
rnacentral:rRNA from 1 species